rnacentral:lncRNA from 1 species
AAAGAAUGGAGUAUGAUAAUGAUAGCAGUUGGUCAGCAACAGCCUAAUUCAGUCGUGUCACAUGCUGAACUGUCUGGUAAUUUCAUUGUCACACUNNGCUUGAAAUGCUAAAUAUCCGAGGGCUUGGAAUGGUCCAGAGUUUUUAGUGGAAUUUGUACAUCAAG